UUUGAAAUCUGGCCCCCUUCGCGGAGGUCCGAGUUGUAAUUUGCAGAGGAUGCUUCUGGCGCGGCGCCUUCCGAGUUCCCUGGAACGGGACGCCACAGAGGGUGAGAGCCCCGUCCGGUCGGACGCCUAGCCUGUGUGAAGCACCUUCGACGAGUCGGGUAGUUUGGGAAUGCUGCCCUAAAUGGGAGGUAUAUGUCUUCUAAAGCUAAAUACCGGCCAGAGACCGAUAGCGCACAAGUAGAGUGAUCGAAAGAUGAAAAGCACUUUGAAAAGAGGGUUAAACAGUACGUGAAAUUGUUGAAAGGGAAGCGCUCAUGACCAGACUUGGGCCCGGGGGAUCACCCGGCGUUCUUCGCCGGGGCACUUCGCCGGCUGCCCAGGCCAGCAUCAGUUCGUGGCGGGGGACAAAGGCUUCGGGAACGUGGCUCCCUACGGGGAGUGUUAUAGCCCGCUGCGCAAUGCCCUGCCGCGGACUGAGGUUCGCGCUUCCGCAAGGAUGCUGGCGUAAUGGUCAUCAGCGACCCGUCUUGAAACACGGACCAAGGAGUCGUCUUCGUAUGCGAGUGUUCGGGUGUCAAACCCCUACGCGUAAUGAAAGUGAACGCAGGUGAGAGCUUCGGCGCAUCACCGACCGAUCCUGAUGUUCUCGGAUGGAUUUGAGUACGAGCAUACGGGGCCGGACCCGAAAGAAGGUGAACUAUGCCUGUAUAGGGUGAAGCCAGAGGAAACUCUGGUGGAGGCUCGCAGCGGUUCUGACGUGCAAAUCGAUCGUCAAAUAUGGGCAUGGGGGCGAAAGACUAAUCGAACCUUCUAGUAGCUGGUUUCCGCC
rnacentral:rRNA from 2 species